rnacentral:rRNA from 1 species
GACGAAGGAUGCAAGCGUUAUCCGGAUUCAUUGGGUUUAAAGGGAGCGUAGGUGGCCUUGUAAGUCAGUGGUGAAAUCCUGUCGCUUAACGAUAGAAUUGCCAUUGAUACUGCAGGGCUUGAGUACAGUUGCCGUUGGCGGAAUAUGACAUGUAGUGGUGAAAUGCGCAGAUAUCAGGAGGAACACCGGUGGCGAAGGCGGGUCUCUGGGCCGAUACUGACGCUGAGGAGCGAAAGCGUGGGGAGCGAACAGG